UUAAAGAUAUAGUUUACAUGUAUGAUCUAUCUAACCAAUUUUAAAUGGUAUACUCAACUAUUCAUUGUUAUUAUAUUCCCUUUUGGUCCAAAGAAUAACAUCUAGCUCAAUCUAAUAACAGUAAUGUGCAAAAAAAGAAGGCAAACAGAAUCAUUUUGAUUCAUAUCAUGAGGAUUCAACAAAGAUUUAGGUUAGUCAUAUACACAAAAUAUGUCAUUUUAUC
rnacentral:lncRNA from 1 species